GAAAUGCGAUAAGUAAUGUGAAUUGCAGAAUUCAGUGAAUCAUCGAAUCUUUGAACGCACCUUGCACUCCUUGGUAUUCCGAGGAGUAUGCCUGUUUGAGUGUCAUUAAAUCAUCAAUCUAACUUCACUUUGUGAAGUUGGCUUGGAUUUGGAGACUGUUGGACCUUGCUCGAGGUUCGACUUCUCUUGAAUGUAUUAGUUGGAUUGAAAUGCAACGUUACGUGUGGUGUGAUAAUAUCUUCACUGCAUAGUUGCAAUGAAGUCUGGCUUCUAACAGUCCUUUACUGGACAAUCUUUGACCAUUUGACCUCAAAUCAGGUAGGACUACCCGCUGAACUUAA
rnacentral:misc_RNA from 1 species